UGACAACAUAUUUAUAGUAUGCUAAGUGGC
rnacentral:piRNA from 1 species